rnacentral:rRNA from 1 species
CAAUAGCGUAUAUUAAAGUUGUUGCAGUUAAAAAGCUCGUAGUUGGAUUCCUGGUAGGAGUGACCGUGCCAGACUUGAUUGUCUGUGUAUUGUGUUGUCUCCAGCCAUCCUUGUGGAGAACUUUUCUUGCAUUAAUUUGUAGGGAUUGGGACCCGCAUCGUUUACUGUGAAAAAAUUAGAGUGUUUAAAGCAGGCAAUCGCUUGAAUACAUUAGCAUGGAAUAAUAAGAUAGGACUUUGGUACUAUUUUGUUGGUUUGCAUACCAAAUUAAUGAUCAACAGGAACAGUUUGAGGAUAUCCGUAUGAACAUGUCAGAGGUGAAAUUCUUGGAUUUUGAUCAGACGAACUACUGCGAAAGCAUUUAUCAAGGAUGUUUCCAUUAA